AACGAACGCUGGCGGCAUGCCUAACACAUGCAAGUCGAACGAGACCUUCGGGUCUAGUGGCGCACGGGUGCGUAACGCGUGGGAACCUGCCCUUAGGUUCGGAAUAACUCCCCGAAAGGGGUGCUAAUACCGGAUAAUGUCUUCGGACCAAAGAUUUAUCGCCUUUGGAUGGGCCCGCGUUGGAUUAGCUAGUUGGUAGGGUAAAAGCCUACCAAGGCGACGAUCCAUAGCUGGUCUGAGAGGAUGAUCAGCCACACUGGGACUGAGACACGGCCCAGACUCCUACGGGAGGCAGCAGUGGGGAAUAUUGGACAAUGGGCGAAAGCCUGAUCCAGCAAUGCCGCGUGAGUGAUGAAGGCCUUAGGGUUGUAAAGCUCUUUUACCCGGGAUGAUAAAGACAGUACCAGGAGAAUAAGCUCCGGCUAACUCCGUG
rnacentral:rRNA from 1 species